ACUAACUCCACUGACACUGCCUCUACAAAAGCAACCUCCAGGGUAGCAGAUACAAACAGCCGUGAUCUGCCAGAUAGCAAAAUCAGUGUUUUACACCAACGACACCUCAGAGAACUAUAUGGACCAAAACAGCAAGAUGAUGAUAUUCUGCCUGUUUCUGGCAGCUCUCAGCAGCCCUGUGUUCGCUGGAGAAUGGAAGGCGAAUGUUGUAAAAAGUCUCGACACUCUGGUCAGUUCCUGCGUUGUGGUGCCGUGUUCAUUCACCCAUCCUAAAGGAAACCUGCCCACCUCCAGACUCAGAGGGAUCUGGCAUCGUUCAAAUGAUCGAAAUCAACGCAUCUAUUUCGAGGAUCAAACGCAGGUUUUGGAAAACUUCAGGGGCCGCACACGGUUGUUGGGACAUCUGGGUCAGAGCAACUGCACCUUAGAAAUUAUGGACGUUAAAGAUCAUGACAAUGGCCCUUACUGCUUCCGGAUAGAACAGGCACUGACAGAGACAAAAACCGACGACAAGUUCUCCUUUGUGGAGGAUUGUGUCAAGUUCACAAUGCUCCCUGUUCCUCUAAAGCCUGCCCUGACUCACCCAAAGACAGCCACUCAAGAUCUUCCCUACACUGUCACCUGCUCGGUCACCCAUACCUGCCCCUCCCAUGUGCCUAAACUCACAUGGAGUAAGGCCGCUCCAGAUGCGGUGAAUGAGGUCCACAGAGAAAUUCACCCUGGCAACUGGGAGGCACAGUCCAUCCUGACCUUCAUUCCCGGGGAGAAGGACGACCACACCGAGAUCAAAUGCACAGCACAAUUUAAUGGAGGGAAGACGUCCUUUACAACACUGACACUCUAUGUAAAACGUACAGAAAACUACAACCACAUCAUCAUUCCCACAGUGGCGGCGAUUGGCACAGCUGUGAUCUUUGCAGUCUUCUGCAUUCUCAUGGCGAAGAAAUACAAGACACGUAUUGCAGAGCUCCAAAAUCAAGAAGGCAGUGUGUGGAACCAGAUUUCCAGACUGUCUCGCAGGAGCAGAAUCUCAAGGGGCGGACUGGCCAUCUGGAGGUUCUGGAGAAUCACAGAACGGCCGGUACUUCAAGACGGCCGGCGGCCGCCACGCAGUCAUCACCGUUUUUUUUUUCUUUUUCCUUUUUCUCCCUGAUAAUCUACUGUUCCACGUCCAGUCCGCUAGGUGGCAGCCUUUAAAUUGGAUGCCAGCCAGCCAAUAGAUAUCUAUGGCCACCAAUCAAAUUGAACAAGAAGGAAGCGCAUACGUCACGCAAAUCGAGCAGCCGUGUGCAGCAGGCAGUCACCUGCAUUGUAUUGUUCAGCAGAGAGACAUCCGGAGUGUGUCGUUUAUUUCUCAACAAUCAAAGAAAAGUGACCAGCAGCCUCCGUCAUCAUCAUCAGUCUGCUCCAGUGUCUUUUUUUAUGCUUUUCUAAGAGUCUUUUUAAAGUUUCUUUAUAAUAAUACAGCAAGUCAAGGGGCAAACAUUUGCUGGUGGGUUUAAUUUCUUAACUUGCGUUCAUGUUAAUCACAUAUCAGCUUCAGAGAAAUGGUGUUACUGUAAUAGCGACUUUUAAAAAAUCAGAAAACACACACACAAAAACAAGAUAUAAAAAUUUGUUGACAAAAAGCUUUACCAGUCUGGUUCCCUGGAAAGCAACAUGCCACUUUUUAUUCGUUAAACUCACACUCUGCAUACUGAAAACUUCCCCACCCACUGGUUUGUGAUAUAGACACUGCGUUUGGGUUUCUCAGUUGAUCAUUAGAGCCACGGUGACACAGUUUGCUGUCUAGCACCAAAUCUUAAAGCAUGCUACUAACACCCAGCACGUCCUGUUUUCUGAACAGAUGUAUCAGUAAUGUAAACAUUAACUCUUUGUAUAUUAAAUUUAGUUUUGCGCUUA